UCGUUCAUCUUCGGCAACGGCAAUUCUACCGCUGCUGCUGGGAGCGGCGCGCAUCCACCAUGGCCCUCCAUUGCAUUGGCGGUCAAAUCGAUCGACGCCUAGAUCGUGAGUAGUCUGGAUCGCGCCUUUGCGGAGUUCCGAGGGACUGUGUGGGUUGCGCCUACACUCGCCGCACAAACCGAAAUGCUCACCAGGUGCUCGGCGAUGUUCUGCAUAGGCAAAGAACUAGCAAAAGAUUCCCUACUGGAAGCAAACUACAAAGAAUGUAUACAACUGUCUAUAGGUGAGGUGGCAAGUUUGAUCCAUACAAGGUAUCAACAAUGGCGAUGACACACUGAACAUCUGCUGCAUAGUUGUCCUUCAAAGGUGAAAGGACACAUUUUCUGAUGGCAUUCUCAGAUAUUAGGAGAACUGCGUAUCAUUAUAUUAAGAAGAUUAAAAUUAAGAGGUCUAGAGAUGAUACUUACCAACAGUGUACUCAAACAUAAUAGCAACAGUGACGAUGGACCAGAUGAUGUUAGUCCCAAAGAUGUCAUAGGAUGCACGGAAGAGUAUGAGCAGUGACACAAGGAGGCAAGCAAGGCCAACCUUGAGUGCAAAGGUGACCCUGUUCGUGUCCUGCCUUGCAAAUUCCCAGACAUCACGUAGCCACUUUCUGGGGGAGGGAACUUCUUCAGUGAUUGGCUUCUUUACAGCUUCUGGCACCACAAUGUUUGAUGUUCAGCUGUUGAAGUGGCUGUUGAAGUGUGGAGUAUUAUGGAUGGAGGGAGGUUAUAUAUAGAUUUGUUGAGAGGCUAAGAUGGUGGUGCAAGUAGAUAAAAAAUAUCGAUACAGGUAAUGUCAGAUGCUCUAGCUCUAUAAUGUAUGUACUGAUGGUGAAUUGGAAUAUAUCAUCUGAAGUAAUUGUUUGA